UGUCUCUCACAGAACGGUCCAGCGGAAUGACAACGAAUUCAUCAGCGACGAUCCCUGCUCGCUCGUCCAGUGCCGAACUACGAGGGGCUCGGAUGGGAAUAACUUUCUCCGCUUGGCGAAGGAAGAAAGAAAAUGGAGUGGAGGGAGGAAAGGAGAGAAAGGAAGGAAAAAAAAAGAAAGAAAAAACAACGCGAAUGAUUUUCUGAGAAAUCAAUGUUACGGUGCGAAAUAAAUGUAAACAAAAAGCUCAUUAAGAGUCAGACGUUUAUUCACA